rnacentral:rRNA from 1 species
GAUGAACGCUGGCGGCGUGCCUAAUACAUGCAAGUCGAGCGAACAGACGAGGAGCUUGCUCCUCUGACGUUAGCGGCGGACGGGUGAGUAACACGUGGAUAACCUACCUAUAAGACUGGGAUAACUUCGGGAAACCGGAGCUAAUACCGGAUAAUAUAUUGAACCGCAUGGUUCAAUAGUGAAAGACGGUUUUGCUGUCACUUAUAGAUGGAUCCGCGCCGCAUUAGCUAGUUGGUAAGGUAACGGCUUACCAAGGCAACGAUGCGUAGCCGACCUGAGAGGCUGAUCGGCCACACUGGAACUGAGACACGGUCCAGACUACUACGGGAGGCAGCAGUAGGGAAUCUUCCGCAGUGGGCGAAAGCUUGACGGAGCAACGCCGCGUGAGUGAUGAAGGUCUUCGGAUCGUAAAAAUCUGUUAUUAGGGAAGAACAAAUGUGUAAGUAACUAUGCACGUCUUGACGGUACCUAAUCAGAAAGCCACGGCUAACUACGUG